UUUCUUUUUAAAAAACCAAGUGAUCUGUUCCCAUUUGAUACUAUGUUGUCUAUAUGUUUGUUCCACUUCAGAUUCGAUUGUAGGGUAAUGCCUAGAUAUUUUGCGGAUGUAACUGAUUCGAGGAUGUGAUUGUGGAGGAUGUAAUUAGGGAGCUACCAUUUGAUUUUUAUGGGGGGGGGGGCAAGGAUGAAAAAUGUUGUCCUGCUUUUUUUUAGUUGUAAUCUCUGUCCUGCCUUUUUAUUUUUUACUCUAUUCGGUCCUGCCUAUUUUUUUUUACUAGUUUAUCCUGACUUUUUUGACACAAAUUGUCAUCCUGCCUUUUUUUUUUUACAAGUUUCUCAUCCUGCCUUUUUUUUUACUCAAAACUCCUGUCCUGCCUAUUUUUUUCAAAUUUCAUCCUAGCCCCCCUCUAUUCGGUCCUGCCUUUUUUUUUAUUAGUUUAUCCUGACUUUUUUUACCUAAAUUGUCAUCCUGCCUUUUUUUUUUUUGCAAAGUGUCUCAUCCUGCCUUUUUUUUUACUCAAAACUCCUGUCCUGCCUAUUUUUUUCAAAUUUCAUCCUAGCCCCCCUCUAUUCGGUCCAGCCUAUUUUUUUUACUAGUUUAUCCUGAUUUUUUUUACACAAAUUGUCAUCCUGCCUUUUUUUUUUACAAGUUUCUCAUCCUGCCUUUUUUUUUACUCAAAACUCCUGUCCUGCCUAUUUUUUUCAAAUUUCAUCCUACCCCCCCCCCCCCCCCCCCCCCCAUAAAAAUCAAAUGGUAGCUCCCUUAUGC
rnacentral:lncRNA from 1 species